rnacentral:rRNA from 1 species
AGAGUUUGAUCCUGGCUCAGGAUGAACGCUAGCGGCAGGCUUAAUACAUGCAAGUCGAGGGGCAGCGCAGAUAGCAAUAUCGGGCGGCGACCGGCGGACGGGUGCGUAACACGUAUGCAACUUGCCCUGUACAGGGAAAUAGCCCGGAGAAAUCCGGAUUAAUGUCCCAUAAUAUCCGAAAAGGCAUCUUUUUGGGUUGAAAGAUUUAUCGGUACAGGAUAGGCAUGCGCCCCAUUAGCUUGUUGGUGAGGUAAUAGCUCACCAAGGCGACGAUGGGUAGGGGGCCUGAGAGGGUGAUCCCCCACACUGGUACUGAGACACGGACCAGACUCCUACGGGAGGCAGCAGUAAGGAAUAUUGGUCAAUGGAGGCAACUCUGAACCAGCCAUGCCGCGUGUAGGAAGAAGGCCCUAUGGGUUGUAAACUACUUUUAUAUGGGAAGAAACCUUCGGACGUGUCCGGAGCUGACGGUACCAUAAGAAUAAGGGUCGGCUAACUCCGUGCCAGCAGCCGCGGUAAUACGGAGGACCCAAGCGUUAUCCGGAUUUAUUGGGUUUAAAGGGUGCGUAGGCGGGGAAAUAAGUCAGAGGUGAAAGCCGGCAGCUUAACUGUCGAACUGCCUUUGAUACUGUUUUUCUUGAGUUUGGUUGAAGUGGGCGGAAUGUGACAUGUAGCGGUGAAAUGCGUAGAUAUGUCCCAGAACACCGAUUGCGAAGGCAGCUCACUAAGCCAAUACUGACGCUGAUGCACGAAAGCGUGGGGAGCAAACAGGAUUAGAUACCCUGUUAGUCCACGCCGUAAACGAUGAUGACUCGACGUAAGCGAUACACAGUUUGCGUCUAAGCGAAAGCGUUAAGUCAUCCACCUGGGAAGUACGAUCGCAAGGUUGAAACUCAAAGGAAUUGACGGGGGCCCGCACAAGCGGUGGAGCAUGUGGUUUAAUUCGAUGAUACGCGAGGAACCUUACCUGGGCUUAAAUGGGAGACGACAGGAGCCGAAAGGUUCCCUUCUUCGGACGUCUUUCAAGGUGCUGCAUGGUUGUCGUCAGCUCGUGCCGUGAGGUGUUGGGUUAAGUCCCGCAACGAGCGCAACCCCUACUGUUAGUUGCCAGCGAGUUAUGUCGGGGACUCUAGCAGAACUGCCGGCGCAAGCCGUGAGGAAGGUGGGGAUGACGUCAAAUCAUCACGGCCCUUACGUCCAGGGCUACACACGUGCUACAAUGGCCGAUACAGAGGGCAGCCACUGCGCGAGCAGGAGCAAAUCCUUAAAAUCGGUCCCAGUUCGGAUCGUAGUCUGCAACUCGACUACGUGAAGCCGGAAUCGCUAGUAAUCGCGUAUCAGCCAUGACGCGGUGAAUACGUUCCCGGGCCUUGUACACACCGCCCGUCAAGCCAUGGGAGUUGGGAGUGCCUGAAGUGCGUAACCGCAAGGAGCGCCCUAGGGCAAGAUCAAUGACUGGGGCUAAGUCGUAACAAGGUAGCCGUACCGGAAGGUGUGGCUG